UGUAACGUUUUAAUAAAACGAUACUAUUGGCAACCCAACAUACACCCUACCGAAUUAGUUCUGACUAAUUUCGGAUACUCUGUUGAUAGUACUUACCCUUGUCGGCGCAGAACUAGAGCAUCUUUUUGACUAUCGGAAGUCACAAUUUUUGAUUCAGAUUUCGUCGCUUAAACAUCGACAUACUUAUCUGAAGUCAUCCGAAAAAGUUUCAACCUUUUUACCCUAUUAAUCUUUGGAAUGUAGUCCUAAUGGUUCCUGGCAUUUGGGGAAGGAAUCAAUUUUAAGUUUUCAUGGGUAUUUUUGUGAUUUUCUAAACGUGGUUUUGGUUGUCCUGUCAUGAGUUUAGUUUUUGAGUAAACCCUCAGCAUCGUGAGGGUUUUACCGCCCGUAAUAUGACAUGGCGAGUUAUAUGUCGUGAUUGGUGGUUUGAGGUACGAGAGCCUGUAUCUAUGAUCCAUGUUUGAUUUCCACAUGGCUGGUGGUAUUGUAAGGGGCUGUUCGAGGCUGUGGUAGAUUGGGGAUGAGCUCCCACACCUAACGUCCACACACCAUCCAGAAGGACGAGCCAAAGCCUGGAAUUGCACCAGAUAAUCAGGCCAGAUUUCAUAUUUUUUUAUUAACUCAUUUCAAAUCUAUUUACUUACUGUUGAUGAAUUACGUAAUUAAUUAUGUAAUUAUUAGAUAUCAUAUUUUAAUUUCAUUAUUAAAAUAUAAUUUUCUUAAUUUUAAAUAUACAAAUUUUUAUAUAAUUUAAUAUCUUGUCAAGUAUUUUGUGAUGGUGUCACUUGUGACAUAUUUAUUUAAUUAACUUUUGAUUGAUUUACGGAAUUAAGUGCGCAUACAACAAGGUUCAUGAACUGCGUUAGUUUGAGGUACUUAUAUUUAACUUUAUUUUGCGUAAUUUAAUAUUAAUAUGUCAAUGAUUU